rnacentral:rRNA from 1 species
CUAGGAAAGGGAUACUUCUUCGGACAAUAUACAAGGUGCUGCAUGGUUGUCGUCAGCUCGUGCCGUGAGGUGUCGGGUUAACGUCCCAUAACGAGCGCCAACCCUAUCAUUAGUUGCCAUCAGGUACAAGCGUGGGGACUCUAAUAGAAACUGCCUACGCAAGUAGUGAGGAAGGUGGGGAUGACGUCAAAUCAGCACGGCCCUUACGUCCAGGGGCUACACACGUGCUACAAUGGCCGGUACAAAGGGCAGCUACCUGGUGGCAGGAUGCUAAUCUCAAAAGCCGGUCUCAGUUCGGAUCGGAGUCUGCAACCCGACUCCGUGAAGCUGGAAUCGCUAGUAACCGCAGAUCAGCUACGUUGCGGUGAAUACGUUCCCGGGCCUU